UAACUUCGUGCCAGCAGCCGCGUAAUACGAGGGUGCAAGCGUUAAUCGGGAUUACUGGGCGUAAAGCGUUCGUAGGCGUUUGUUAAGCAAGAUGUGAAAGCCCAGGCUCAACCUUGGAACUGCAUUUUGAACUGGUAGACUAGAGUACUGUAGAGGUUGGUGGAAUUUCCAGUGUAGCGGUGAAAUGCGUAGAGAUUGGAAGGAACAUCAGUGGCGAAGGCGGCCACCUGGACAGAUACUGACGCUGAGGAACGAAAGCGUGGGGAGCGAACAGGAUUAGAUACCCUGGUAGUCCACGCCGUAAACGAUGUCAACUAGCCGUUUGUGUCCUUGAGACGUGAGUGGCGCANUAACGCACUAAGUUGACCGCCUGGGGAGUACGGCCGCAAGGUUAAAACUCAAAUGAAUUGACGGGGGCCGCACAAGCGGUGGAGCAUGUGGUUUAAUUCGAUGCAACGCGAAGAACCUUACCAUCCCUU
rnacentral:rRNA from 1 species